rnacentral:rRNA from 1 species
UAACAAGGUUUCCGUAGGUGAACCUGCGGAAGGAUCAUUACCAAAGAACGUCCCGAGCGGGGGGUUGGCGGCUUUCGGUCGUCGGCUCCUCGACCAAAACAAACCAUUCUGCGUACCUUUCCCUGUUGCUUCCCCGCGUUCCCAGAGGACGCGGGGGAGGUCCAACCACAGAAACCCUUUUCGAGCAAACCGAAGUCUGAGACGCGGAAACGUGACCGCAGUUAAAUGGAAUAACGCAAAACUUUCAACAACGGAUCUCUUGGUUCCCACAUCGAUGAAGAACGCAGCGAAAUGCGAUAAGUAAUGUGAAUUGCAGAAUUCAGUGAAUCAUCGAAUCUUUGAACGCACAUUGCGCCUUCUGGUAUUCCGGAGGGCAUGCCUGUCCGAGUGUCGUCGAAACACCAUCCUCCGGGCCUCUGUCACGGCGGAGAGUCUUAGGGGGGUUUUCUGGCCGUCAGGCUGUUGCGGGUCCGCCUCCCGGCGGUCCGGGUCAGUCCGGCUCAAAUGGCAGGUCUGUAGGUUGGAGCGUGCUGCCAGUCGACGUAAUGGUUAAAGUCAUCGACCGUCGUCGCAGCCUCCGGGGCCUCGGGACCUUUAAAACGAUGCAAGCACCUCUUGACCUCGGAUCAGGUAGGGAUACCCGCUGAACUUAAGCAUAUCCUCAGUAACGGCGAGUGAAGCGGCAACAGCUCAAAUUUUAAAGCUGGUAGUCUUCAGACGCCCGCGUUGUAAUUUGGAGAGGCAUCUUCGGUUCGGGCGCUGGUCUAUGUUCCUUGGAACUGGACGUCGCAGAGGGUGAGAAUCCCGUGCUUGGCCAGCUGACCCCUUCCACGUGAAGCGCCUUCGACGAGUCGAGUUGUUUGGGAAUGCAGCUCAAAAUGGGUGGUAAAUUUCAUCUAAAGCUAAAUAUUGGUGGGAGACCGAUAGCGCACAAGUAGAGUGAUCGAAAGAUGAAAAGCACUUUGAAAAUAGAGUAAAACAGUACGUGAAAUUGUUGAAAGGGAAGCGCUUGAGGCCAGACUCGUGCGGGGACGAUCAGCCACCCUUCUGGGCGGUGCACUCGUCUUCGUUCGGGCCAGCAUCGGUCGGGACGGCGGGACAAAGGCUUCGGGAACGUGGCUCCUCUCGGGGAGUGUUACAGCCCGUCGUGCAAUGCCGUCAGCCCCGACCGAGGACCGCGCUUCGGCUAGGAUGCUGGCGUAAUGACCUUCAGCGACCCGUCUUGAAACACGGACCAAGGAGUCUAACAUCUAUGCGAGUGUUUGGGUGUCAAACCCUUGCGCGGAAUGAAAGUGAACGGAGGUGGGAACCCCUCGGGGCGCACCAUCGACCGGUCCUGAUGUCUUCGGAUGGAUCUGAGUAGGAGCAUAGCUGUUGGGACCCGAAAGAUGGUGAACUAUGCCUGAAUAGGGUGAAGCCAGAGGAAACUCUGGUGGAGGCUCGCAGCGGUUCUGACGUGCAAAUCGAUCGUCGAAUUUGGGUAUAGGGGCGAAAGACUAAUCGAACCAUCUAGUAGCUGG